CACCAGGUUGAUACUGCCUGACGUAGACGCUAUACUCUAGAUUAACCCAUGCAUGUUAUUGAAUAUAAAGAAAAGACGAACAGCUCAGUAACUCUUAUUUUAUUUGAUGUAUUAGGACUAUAACUAUGUUAAAUUAUAGAUAACAAUAAUACAAUAAGAAUAAGAUCUAUCAGUUAGUUGUUAAGGUAAUGGCUUAACAAGACUAUGACGGAUAACGGUAUUACUUUGUAAUAUUCCGGAGAAGGAGCCUGAGAGAUUGCUACUAAGUCUAAGGAUUGCAGCAGGGGCGAAACUUGACCUAUGAUAUGAUAUUGAGGCAGUUAUGAGUAGUAUUUUUAAUUAUUGUAGUAUUGUAAGUAUAUACUACAAGAUAAAUCGGAGGGCAAAUCGAGUGCCAGCAGCCGCGG
rnacentral:rRNA from 1 species